UAAAUUUGCACUUGAAUUGGUUCUUAUAGAUUAAAAGGGAAUCGGGUGAAAAUCCUGAACAGUUCCCGCUGCUGUAAGCUCCGUAACUCUUUUUAAAUCAAUAGCCACUGUCGAGUAUGGGAAGGCAAAAAAGAGGGAGCAAGUCAGAAGACCUGCNNNNNNNAAAACAAACAU
rnacentral:ncRNA from 2 species